CUUCUUGGAUUGAUAUGAAGUCGUGCCUGCCCACUGAGUUAUUAAAUGGCCGCGGUAUAUUGACCGUGCAAAGGUAGCAUAAUCAUUAGUCUUUUAAUUGGAGGCUGGAAUGAAUGGUUUGACGAAACAAUAACUGUCUCAGGAUAAUUAAUUGAAUUUUAUUUUUGAGUCAAAAAGCUUAAAUAUUAACAGGGGACGAGAAGACCCUAUAGAUCUUAAUAUUAUUAUAUUAAAAUGUAUAUUUAGAGGUAUUUAAUGUAUUUUAUUAUUUAAUGUUUUGUUGGGGUGACAAGGGAAUAAUUUAACUUCUUUAUAUUUUACUAUGAUGGUUGGUUAAUUGAUCCUAUUAUUAUGGAAUAAAGACAAAGAUACCUUAGGGAUAACAGCGUAAUAUUAUUGGAGAGUUCAUAUUGAUAAUAAGGAUUGCGACCUCGAUGUUGGAUUAAGAAAAUUAUUAGGUGCAGGAGCUUAAUAUAUUGGUCUGUUCGACCAUUAAAUUCUUACGUGAUCUGAGUU
rnacentral:rRNA from 1 species